rnacentral:lncRNA from 1 species
GACACUCUAUAAGCUUGUAUUUUUUGAUUUUAUUAGGUAUAUUUGUACAUGCACUGUAUAAUGAACCGUCAAAGUGAAAAAAACAAAAAAGAAGGCACGUUUGGGUCAAUUGGUUUGGGACGGGGCAUUCAGGUCAGGCUCCGGCUAGAACGUGGAAGGGUUGGGAUCACUUGGGAUUCUGCUCGUGGGCCUGACCGAUUUGGGCCCAAUCAAUGCUAGAACUGGUU